AUUGAACGCUGGCGGCAUGCUUUACACAUGCAAGUCGAACGGUAACAGGGUGCUUGCCCCGCUGACGAGUGGCGAACGGGUGAGUAAUGCAUCGGAAUGUACCGUGUAAUGGGGGAUAGCUCGGCGAAAGCCGGAUUAAUACCGCAUACGCCCUGAGGGGGAAAGUGGGGGACCGAAAGGCCUCACGUUAUACGAGCAGCCGAUGUCUGAUUAGCUAGUUGGUGAGGUAAAGGCUCACCAAGGCGUCGAUCAGUAGCGGGUCUGAGAGGAUGAUCCGCCACACUGGGACUGAGACACGGCCCAGACUCCUACGGGAGGCAGCAGUGGGGAAUUUUGGACAAUGGGCGCAAGCCUGAUCCAGCCAUGCCGCGUGUCUGAAGAAGGCCUUCGGGUUGUAAAGGACUUUUGUCCGGGAGCAAAUCCUAGUGGUUAAUAACCGCUGGGUCUGAGAGUACCGGAAGAAUAAGCACCGGCUGACUACGUG
rnacentral:rRNA from 1 species